UUUCUGAUUGCGGGAGAGCGCAGAAAUUCUGUCACCGAAGGUAUAAGUUAUAAAGUACGCUAACUCUAUAAUGAACAUCUCAGGUAAAUGGACCGUAAUCAUAUG
rnacentral:ncRNA from 1 species